UUGUACACCUGUCUUCUCAUAAACAACUUAAGUACAUAAAGCCCGAAACAACAGCUCCACCCGACCAUUUUCGCAGUAAGGAUCUAAGUAAUAAGAAAAAUGUAUACAUAAAGAAAAGUUUUCAACUGUAAAAACUCCACAGCACCUAGCUAAUUACAAUAUAUCUUACAGACAACGACCUCUUGUGUCAAUAACUCGCAUACAGGCCAUGAAGGAUAUUAUUGUGUGGGAGUGGUGGCACGGAAUUGACUUGAAUGGAUGAAUGGACUCAAUGCAGAAGGUCAAGAAGACAUCCAAUAGGUUUCAGAGAUGGGCCACGACAUGAAAAAGCCCAGUCGACCCUGAAGUCCUGAGCCAGGACUUAGGAACAGCCAGCAGAGCCCUGUGGGAGGAUCUGAGGCUGUGCUCUGGCUCACGGGGGAAACCAUGAAUUGCUUUGAAGCAUGGAGGGGAGACUCAUCUCGCACUCAAAUAUCUCCGUGGGGAAUGGAAAGAUGGCAGAGAUGCAUGCCGAGGCCACUCCUUUUAUCCGGGCCUCGGAAAGAGAAACAUUGGCACCGUUGACAGGGAAAAUGUGACAUUUUCUGCACUGUGAUACCUCACAUCUUCAAAUUGAUGCCUUGUAUGAAAUAGACAGAAGGAGGCGUAAUGAAUGUGCUUCGCUGACACAAAGACGUGCCACCAGGACAUUGUAGGAUCUCAGCUCUUGAGAAUUCUGACUGGUUUGCUUUUUAAAGCACAGAGGGCCAGCUGUUUAUAUUAUUCAAAUUUAGACGGGUUGUAGAAAAUGUGCGUCCAUCUACUAUCGCAGGGGAUAAUAGUUUGGUCGUUUGGUUAUUUCUAAAACCACUCUUUAUGCUAUUUUAGUCAAUCAGACUACAUUGAAAAGUAUUUUCCACGACACUGCUUGAAUUUCUCUUUAUAUACAGCUGAAAUACGGACAAAAGAUUAAAAUGAUUGUCAUUUUCCUCCGUAUUCACGCUGUCAUCUCUGCGUAUCGACUGAGUCAUUUGUCCUUUAUGUGAAAUCUUUCGCUGGUAGGAGACCAUGUUACUGUAUGUGUGGCGUACAAACAGACUCACAGGAGGUCAUGGGAGUUCUGAGCUGACAAUCAAGGGACCAGCUGUCACUCAUAGCCCCAUCACCAGCCGCGCCACGUCAAGUCUUAUGA